rnacentral:rRNA from 1 species
GACGAACGCUAGCGACGUGCCUAAGAAAUGCAAGUCGAGCGAGGCUAGAGACUUCGGUUUCGAAACCUAGCGGCGAACGGUCGCGUAACACGUAAGCAACCUGCCUCGAAGUUGGGGAUAGCCCUCCGAAAGGGGGAUUAAUACCGAAUGUGGAUUAUCUAUGCAUGUAGAUAACUCUAAAGCAGUAAUGCGCUUUGAGAUGGGCUUGCGGCCUAUCAGCUAGUUGGUGAGGUAACAGCUCACCAAGGCGACGACGGGUAGCUGGUCUGAGAGGAUGGUCAGCCGGACUGGGACUGAGAUACGGCCCAGACACCUACGGGUGGCAG